AAUAUCUCAACCACAUCCCUUUUGUGGCUUGGACUUGGAGGGAAACCUGCAGGCUUCUUUUUAGUCUGCUCCUCUAAAAAAUAUGAGCGGUACCUAUUUUGGAACUUUGGCUUAGGUGUGAUAUGCAUCUGCAUCUAAUUGAGGUUGCCCUGUUGGUUAUGCUGCUGAUCAUUUUAUGGACUUGAUAA
rnacentral:misc_RNA from 1 species